UACGUAGGGCGCAAGCGUUAUCCGGAAUCAUUGGGCGUAAAGAGCGUGUAGGCGGCCCGAUAAGUCCGCUGUGAAAGUCCAGGGCUCAACCCUGGGAUGCCGGUGGAUACUGUCGGGCUCGAGUCCGGAAGAGGAGUGUGGAAUUCCUGGUGUAGCGGUGAAAUGCGCAGAUAUCAGGAGGAACACCAGCGGCGAAGGCGGCGCUCUGGGCCGGAACUGACGCUGAGGAGCGAAAGCGUGGGUAGCAAACAGG
rnacentral:rRNA from 1 species